GAAAAAGCGAUGAAGAGGACAAUUUAUGCAAACAAAACUUUUAAGAGAGUUGGCGGUCGGUGAAAGCCAAUAAGUUAGUUUGUCAUAUAUCACCUCGAAGCUGCUGGCUGAAAUUCAGUAGGCUAAGCCGGGAAAACCCCGUUAUCUCAUGAGUGAUUAAGGCAUUGUGCCUUAAUAAUUAGGGUGGUACCGCGACUUCUCGUCCCUUUG
rnacentral:ncRNA from 1 species